CUGCAGUGCUGAUGCUCAGAGGGUCAAUGCACGAUGUGAAUUGAAGAUGGUAGAAGCAUGACAGCUUGGAUCCCUGAAUGACCGUGUGGAGCGGAGGUUUCCGCUGCCCUCAACACAAGCUCUACACUGUGCAUGGAAGUGACCACGUCUGAGCCACCACGUUGGGUCUGUUUGUAGCUGCAGCUUACUCUACCUUGACGCGCUACCUCUGUGCAUUCAGAUGGGGUUACACUGUGAUAAUCACACUUACAUGCCCUUGGACAUUGAAGCCCUUGGAAACAUCUGCACACCCAUGUGCAUCUCAGUCUUGGACACAUCCAAACAGCUCUUGGGAAGUCCCAGAAGUACCCCCACAAUCCAUCACUUUGUGUGCACAGAGGAGAUGACCAGCUGCAUACAGACAGAGAUGUAUGUGCCAGGGCCAUAUUUCUCCUGUGACGAACAGAAGCCCCCUUUCUGACCUAGACCCAGAAGAGGCAGUGACAAUUCUGUGGAUGAGAGCUACUUUCCCAAGACUCUUCAGGUCGCCUAAUUCCACGUACCUAGGAAGGCAAGGAGGUAGCACCUAAUUCCACAUACCUAGGAAGGCAAGGAGGUAGCACCUAAUUCCACAUGCCUAGGAAGGCAAGAAGGUAGCAUGGGGCAAUAGUCCAUGGUGGUAAAAAAACAAUGGAGAUGGGUUUCAGAAGACUCAAAGAAGGAUCACUGUGAAAGGAUCACACGUGUUGGAGGAUCAAAAUCCAGAAUUCUCUGUGGCCACUCUGUCCAAGAUGUGGGAGGUUCUAUGUCUCUGUUAAAUCAAUAUAAUCAACGGAGCGAAGUAAAACUUUCUGGAUAAUACCGGUAGCUUUGAACUUUUUUCUUUCUUCUUCUUCUUCUUUUUCUCACCUGUGUUCCUUUUGAGUUGUGCAACCAUGGCCUUAGAUCAUAAAACCUUGCAUGGCUGAGAAUGGAUGUGUUUAACUGUUUUAUUGAGGGAGAAUAAAGUAUUCAUGUUUGC